GUGGGGAAUAUUGGACAAUGGGCGAAAGCCUGAUCCAGCCAUGCCGCGUGUGUGAAGAAGGUCUUCGGAUUGUAAAGCACUUUAAGUUGGGAGGAAGGGUAGUAACCUAAUACGUUGCUACUUUGACGUUACCGACAGAAUAAGCACCGGCUAACUUCGUGCCAGCAGCCGCGGUAAUACGAAGGGUGCAAGCGUUAAUCGGAAUUACUGGGCGUAAAGCGCGCGUAGGUGGUUCAGUAAGUUGGAAGUGAAAUCCCCGGGCUCAACCUGGGAACUGCUUGCAAAACUGCUGAGCUAGAGUACGGUAGAGGGUGGUGGAAUUUCCUGUGUAGCGGUGAAAUGCGUAGAUAUAGGAAGGAACACCAGUGGCGAAGGCGACCACCUGGACUGAUACUGACACUGAGGUGCGAAAGCGUGGGGAGCAAACAGGAUUAGAAACCCUUGUAGUCC
rnacentral:rRNA from 1 species